rnacentral:rRNA from 1 species
AGCGAACGCUGGCGGCAGGCCUAACACAUGCAAGUCGAACGAACCUUUCGGGGUUAGUGGCGGACGGGUGAGUAACACGUGGGAACGUGCCUUUAGGUUCGGAAUAACUCAGGGAAACUUGUGCUAAUACCGAAUGUGCCCUUCGGGGGAAAGAUUUAUCGCCUUUAGAGCGGCCCGCGUCUGAUUAGCUAGUUGGUUGAGGUAAUGGCUCACCAAGGCGACGAUCAGUAGCUGGUCUGAGAGGAUGAUCAGCCACAUUGGGACUGAGACACGGCCCAAACUCCUACGGGAGGCAGCAGUGGGGAAUCUUGCGCAAUGGGCGAAAGCCUGACGCAGCCCUGCCGCGUGAAUGAUGAAGGUCUUAGGAUUGUAAAAUUCUUUCACCGGGGACGAUAAUGACGGUACCCGGAGAAGAAGCCCCGGCUAACUUCGUG